AGUGGGGAAUCUUGGACAAUGGGCGCAAGCCUGAUCCAGCCAUGCCGCGUGAGUGAUGAAGGCCCUAGGGUUGUAAAACUCUUUCGUGGGGGACGAUAAUGACGGUACCCCAAGAAGAAGCUCCGGCUAACUUCGUGCCAGCAGCCGCGGUAAUACGAAGGGGGCUAGCGUUGUUCGGAUUUACUGGGCGUAAAGCGCGUGUAGGCGGGCUGGAAAGUUGGGGGUGAAAUCCCGAGGCUCAACCUCGGAACUGCCUCCAAAACUUCCAGCCUGGACUCAAGCAGAGGCAAGUGGAAUUGCGAGUGUAGAGGUGAAAUUCGUAGAUAUUCGCAGGAACACCAGUGGCGAAGGCGACUUGCUGGGCUUGUAGUGACGCUGAGACGCGAAAGCGUGGGGAGCAAA
rnacentral:rRNA from 1 species